CUGAAAGCCUCUCCCCUGCGCUCUGUGAGCUUCCCUUUGUCAUCCUAUGCCUGAGAGAUGCCUGGAGGCUGGGACGGUGAAGGGAAGCCCACGGGGCUGCCACCAGACCUCUGCAGAG
rnacentral:pre_miRNA from 14 species